UACGUAGGGCGCAAGCGUUGUCCGGAAUUAUUGGGCGUAAAGAGCUCGUAGGCGGUCUGUUACGUCCGCUGUGAAAACCCAGGGCUUAACCCUGGGCUUGCAGUGGAUACGGGUAGACUAGAGGCAGGUAGGGGAGAAUGGAAUUCCCGGUGUAGCGGUGAAAUGCGCAGAUAUCGGGAGGAACACCGGUGGCGAAGGCGGUCCUCUGGGCCUGACCUGACGCUGAGGAGCGAAAGCGUGGGGAGCGAACAGG
rnacentral:rRNA from 1 species